CUACGGGCCGCACCAGUAGGGAAUAUUGCACAAUGGGCGCAAGCCUGAUGCAGCCAUGCCGCGUGUAUGAAGAAGGCCUUCGGGUUGUAAAGUACUUUCAGCGGGGAGGAAGGGAGUAAAGUUAAUACCUUUGCUCAUUGACGUUACCCGCAGAAGAAGCACCGGCUAACUCCGUGCCAGCAGCCGCGGUAAUACGGAGGGUGCAAGCGUUAAUCGGAAUUACUGGGCGUAAAGCGCACGCAGGCGGUGUGUUAAGUCAGAUGUGAAAUCCCCGGGCUCAACCUGGGAACUGCAUCUGAGACUGGCAAGCUUGAGUCUCGUAGAGGGGGGUAGAAUUCCAGGUGUAGCGGUGAAAUGCGUAGAGAUCUGGAGGAAUACCGGUGGCGAAGGCGGCCCCCUGGACGAAGACUGACGCUCAGGUGCGAAAGCGUGGGGAGCAAACAGGAUUAGAUACCCUUGUAGUC
rnacentral:rRNA from 1 species